rnacentral:rRNA from 1 species
GAUGAUGUGGUGAGUGGAGGCGGGGUGAGACAGGGGGGGCAGGGGUGGUUCGGAAGUGUUGGGGGGAAAGGGUGCGGAGGCGGUGCGGUAAGUCUUGUGGGAAAGCUCCGGGCGCAACUCGGAGCCUGCAAGGGAAACUGCCGUGCUUGAGUAUGGGAGAGGGGAGUGGAAGUCCCGGUGUAGCGGUGAAAUGCGUAGAUAUCGGGAGGAACACCUGUGGCGAAAGCGGCUCACUGGACCAUAACUGACGCUGAUGCACGAAAGCUAGGGGAGCAAACAGGAUUAGAUACCCGAGUAGUC